rnacentral:rRNA from 1 species
AGAUUGAACGCUGGCGGCAUGCCUUACACAUGCAAGUCGAACGGCAGCACGGGAGCUUGCUCCUGGUGGCGAGUGGCGAACGGGUGAGUAAUGCAUCGGAACGUAUCCUGGAGUGGGGGAUAACGUAGCGAAAGUUACGCUAAUACCGCAUAUUCUGUGAGCAGGAAAGCGGGGGACCUUCGGGCCUCGCGCUCUUGGAGCGGCCGAUGUCGGAUUAGCUGGUUGGUGAGGUAAAGGCUCACCAAGGCGACGAUCCGUAGCAGGUCUGAGAGGAUGAUCUGCCACACUGGAACUGAGACACGGUCCAGACUCCUACGGGAGGCAGCAGUGGGGAAUUUUGGACAAUGGGGGCAACCCUGAUCCAGCCAUGCCGCGUGAGUGAAGAAGGCCUUCGGGUUGUAAAGCUCUUUCGCGAGGGAAGAAAUUGCACCGGAUAAUACCUGGUGUAGAUGACGGUACCUUGAUAAGAAGCACCGGCUAACUACGUGCCAGCAGCCGCGGUAAUACGUAGGGUGCGAGCGUUAAUCGGAAUUACUGGGCGUAAAGCGUGCGCAGGCGGUUUCGUAAGACAGGCGUGAAAUCCCCGGGCUU